AUUGAACGCUGGCGGCAUGCUUUACACAUGCAAGUCGAACGGUAACAGGCCGCAAGGUGCUGACGAGUGGCGAACGGGUGAGUAAUGCAUCGGAACGUGCCCAGUCGUGGGGGAUAACGCAGCGAAAGCUGUGCUAAUACCGCAUACGAUCUAUGGAUGAAAGCGGGGGACCGUAAGGCCUCGCGCGAUUGGAGCGGCCGAUGUCAGAUUAGGUAGUUGGUGGGGGAAAGGCCCACCAAGCCAACGAGUUGUAGCUGGUCUGAGAGGACGCCCAGCCACACUGGGACUGAGACACGGCCCAGACUCCUACGGGAGGCAGCAGUGGGGAAUUUUGGACAAUGGGCGCAAGCCUGAUCCAGCAAUGCCGCGUGCAGGAAGAAGGCCUUCGGGUUGUAAACUGCUUUUGUACGGAACGAAACGGUCUGGGUUAAUACCCUGGGCUAAUGACGGUACCGUAAGAAUAAGCACCGGCUAACUACGUGCCAGCCGCCGCCGUAACAC
rnacentral:rRNA from 1 species